GGGUGUCCGACUUCGGAGUUGUUUUCCUGGAGGCACUGAUACCGAACUUGGUGGAGGAGAAGGAUGGCAUCAGUGGGUGUCUGGGUGGUUGCCUGGACAAGGGAGUUCAGCCUGCGGGAGAUAAAGCAGGAUAUGGAGGCCAUAAAUUGUCUAUCCUGGUGAAUGUUUGAAGCACACUGGAAAAGACCAGGUAUCCACUGGGAGCCAUUGUCAGUAUGCCACCGUAACCAACAGCACCAAAGAUGAUGCCUUGGAUUUGAGGAGACCAGUCAUACACAGGAGCCUUAGAGAAACAGAGAAUGCUGUAGUAAACCUUACACAAAAAGAUUCUCACAUACCCUAAAAAGCUUCUUUAGACCUUUUACUUGCUUUCAAAUCACUAUUUUCUCCAUUAAAGUUUUUAAACAUACAUACUCUAGAAAAAUAAUUAUCUGAGCAAACAAACAGCAAAAAGAAAAGCACAAAUUUAUAUCUUCUGUUGCUUAC